GUCUAUGGCCAUACCACUCUGAAUGUGCCUGAUUGAUCUCCUCUGAUCUCGGAAGCUAAGCAGGGUUGAGCCUGGGAGGAUUUGGAUGGGAUGAUCUGUGUUCUGAUUGCUGAUUGCUGCUUCUGAUCUUAGACA
rnacentral:rRNA from 1 species